rnacentral:lncRNA from 1 species
UUUGACUUCCUUCGGCUGGGCACAGGGGAAUGGGAUGUUGGGAAUUAAUCCGGAAGAAGGUUGCUGGGUUCAUGCGGAUGGAAGGGAACGGAUGCAAGGUUGUUCCGCUAACGCAGGGGAUGAUGUGGAGUUCGGGAGGAUGAAGCAGCUGGGAGGAAAUCUUUGGAUGAUGAUGGAUCACAACGAAAUGUAAGCUAGAUUCAUGGGAUGCUGGGAUUUGAAUUCAUCGUUGAAAAGAUGAACUUGGAACAGGGGAACUGGGAGUGUUGCUGUUAGCUGGGAACAAGACCUUUAGACGCGGGGAAGAAUACACGUGAAGCUUGAAUGCAUGUGGGGGUUGGAGCUUAUCCAGGAACAAGAGGAAGGGUGGACGACUGGAUUGGUUUGAGAGGAUCUCGGAGGCUGGAGUUGGAUCACAGAAGAAGGGAAACUGAGAUGAACUCACGGAAAAGGAGGUACGUGAAACAAGGGAUGGGAAGUUGGGAUCUCGGAAAGAUGAAGCUGGACGUUGGGAGAUUCGGCUGGGAGGAGAUCUAGCGAGAGAAGCUGGGAGAUGAUAGCGGAUGGGAUGAAGCUGGGACGUGGAGCAUUUCGUGGGAGAUUAGGUAAAUGACGAGAGGAUCUCGGCUGGGAGUUAUCCGUGGGUGGUUGUCAUCGCGAACGAGAGGAUAAGCGUGGGACCGAGAUAGAAGGAGAGCUGAGAUCCAUGUUUGGGAGUUUGAUGGCUAAAUGCGGCUGGGAUCUAGCAGAAGAAUAUGAGGCUGAAUCGCUAAGAAUGAGGAGGAUUUGAAUUGAUCUUGAAGCAGGGGAGCAAUGUGAACGUUGGGAGAUUCUAUGGGAUCAAGCCGGAAGAAGUGGGUUUUGAUUUUAUCCCAGGGUCAUGCUACUUUAUUCCAGAACAGGGGAAGAAAAAUGACGUGGAAUGAGCUUGGGAUUCGCUUGAUUUGGAAGAUGAAGAUGAGAUGAUUUAGGAGCAGGGGAUUUGAAUGAAUCAGUUGUUUCGUCCGAAAGGGAUGAGAGCGGGUUGUUUGGUAGAGAAAAGUGGAGGAGUGGAUGGAGCUUUGGGAUUCGUGCAAAUAUGAUGAUAUACUUUGAGAUAUAAGAAACAAAUACUUAAAGAGAUUUUAUUAAAAUCGGAUAAUUGGAUCAUGUGGAAAAAGAGUUAAGUGACUGAAUCAGAGGGUCUUGAUUUGCGGGGUGCAUGUGGUUUAGGUCCAGGAAUAAUCCCUAAUAAACUUGACUCAACCUGCAUACAUUAGACUCAAUUAAUAAAUAAUUAAAUCAAACUCAAAUUAAUUUAUUAAAAUGCAAUGAUGAGGGUAACACAACUUUUAGUUGAAUUUACAAAAUAUGUGAAUUAAAAUAAUGAUAAGUGCUAUGAAUAAAAGGUUAAUUUAUGCAUUAUUUAGCACUUAUCACAC